CCUACGGGUGGCAGCAGUGAGGAAUAUUGGUCAAUGGACGAGAGUCUGAACCAGCCAAGUAGCGUGAAGGAUGACUGCCCUAUGGGUUGUAAACUUCUUUUAUAUGGGAAUAAAACGUUCCACGUGUGGGAUUUUGUAUGUACCAUAUGAAUAAGGAUCGGCUAACUCCGUGCCAGCAGCCGCGGUAAUACGGAGGAUCCGAGCGUUAUCCGGAUUUAUUGGGUUUAAAGGGAGCGUAGGUGGAUUGUUAAGUCAGUUGUGAAAGUUUGCGGCUCAACCGUAAAAUUGCAGUUGAAACUGGCAGUCUUGAGUACAGUAGAGGUGGGCGGAAUUCGUGGUGUAGCGGUGAAAUGCUUAGAUAUCACGAAGAACUCCGAUUGCGAAGGCAGUUCACUGGACUGCAACUGACACUGAGGCUCGAAAGUGUGGGUAUCAAACAGGAUUAAAUACCCCUGUAGUC
rnacentral:rRNA from 1 species